rnacentral:misc_RNA from 1 species
CCAACAUGAGCAUCUGUUGACACUAGCUUAUGGCUAUGGAACUAUAAAAGAAAGGGUUGUUUUUUUGGCCUGAAUUUGGUAAAGAAGUAGUGAAGUUUGGUAGCAACAAAGUUAAAGAAAUCAAUAGUUGCUAGAAUCCAGUUUGGUGGCAGAAGCAAUGUGUUAGAUUAAAUUGCGAUUCAGUUUAUUUUCUCUAGUUAGUCUCAGAAGUUCCAAAACCAAAAUGAGAACCUUUCUCUUACAAGGCCAAAAAAUUAACUAAAAUGUGUUAAUUCAGUUUGCUAAUUGAUUGUAACUGUAAGUGUCAA